GAGUCAAAAAGUACGUGAAAUUGUUGAAAGGGAAGCGCUUGCAACCAGACCUGCCUGCAGUUGCUCAUCCGGGCUCUCGCCCGGUGCACUCUUCUGCUGUCAGGCCAGCAUCAGUUCGGGCGGUCGGAUAAAGGCCGCGGGAAUGUGGCUCCCUCCGGGGAGUGUUAUAGCCCGUGGUGAAAUGCGGCCAGCCUGGACUGAGGUCCGCGCUUCGGCUAGGAUGCUGGCGUAAUGGUUGUAAGCGGCCCGUCUUGAAACACGGACCAAGGAGUCUAACAUCUAUGCGAGUGUUUGGGUGUCAAACCCGUGCGCGUAAUGAAAGUGAACGGAGGCGGGAACCCCUCGGGGUGCACCGUCGACCGAUCCUGAUGUCUUCGGAUGGAUUUGAGUAAGAGCAUAGCUGUUGGGACCCGAAAGAUGGUGAACUAUGCCUGAAUAGGGUGAAGCCAGAGGAAACUCUGGUGGAGGCUCGCAGCGGUUCUGACGUGCAAAUCGAUCGUCAAAUUUGGGCAUAGGGGCGAAAG
rnacentral:rRNA from 1 species